rnacentral:lncRNA from 1 species
UUCUGGACCUUGGACUGACUGUGCAAGUUCAUUUCUCUCUCUGGGCCCCCAUUUCCCCUUUUGUAAGACAAGGAGUUCAGAAGAGAUGAGCAAACAUCAACUCCACUUUCACAACCCUCCCGACCCCCAGCUUGUGCAUUCUUUGAGAGAGUGAGAGCUGCACCCUGGUUCUUAGCCUCUUGCUCCUGCUACAUAUUCUUGCUCCCAAGCCUUGGCUUGUGCUGGGAAUUUGCCUGGCUUGAGCUCUGAAAGAAAUCCAUCAGAGGAGGUUUUUCACAUAGCUUCCCUUAAAAAAAAAAAACGCACAAAAUGUUUGGAGUCCAAAAAGACCAUGCCUCUAGUGGAAGCUUCCAGCACCCGUUAUAGGGGUUCCUGGUACCACCCCAAGUACAGGUGGGGAGAACAGCCCCUCAACAGAUGGGAGAAUGUGCCUCUUCCCCAGGACCAGGGCUUGAAUGAUUAAAGUUUAAAGAAUUAAAUGGUUCAUGCUGAAGGAUUCCCCUGAAGUCAUUCUCCCACUUUGCAGGUAAGAAAAAUAAGGUUCAAGGAUGGGAGGAACUUUCCGCCACAGUCCUCCAACAUCAAAGCAAAUCUUCUGAUUUCUGAGUAACAGCUUUCCCCACUCCUUGAUUUUUCUCUCUCAGGCUGAGUCCUCAAGAUAGAGUGAGAUGGGAACCUUCAUACUGUAUCCUUCCUCAGCCAGAUGUUAACAGCUGUUGAGUUCGAACACUGCGUUAUUCUUGUGCUGUACUAGCCAGUGGCCAGGGAACCCAAGCCUCCCAAAGGUGAGUGUGAAGAAAGAGCAAUAAUUCCGUAGCCCGGAAAAAGGCCCUGGGGCAGCAUGUCCACCUUUAGGAGUGUCUUUGUUUCCAGAGUCCAUGAAAGAAGGAAUUGUCACACAGCAAAACCAGUCUCUUAGAACAGGACGCAUAGGUAGCCAGAGAUGGCAAAGAAAGGCAGUAGGCUGGCUAGUAUCAAUGUCUUCCUCAUCAUUGGCAUCUUAGAGCAUGUCCCUAUCAAAGGGUCCCUCUGCUAAGCUCUUCCCCUGAACCACAUUACCUGACCACGAGUGUCAUUGGCACUUCCAUCAGAAACUGAAAUCCCCAUUGCGCCUUCAAAGUGCACAACCAAUUAGUAAAACCCCAGGGACUGCUUGGUGCCUACAAUUCAAAUAACUUCAGAGGUUCUUUGUUUCUUUUCUUAAAAUCUGGAAAUCUCUUGGGAUAGAGAAAAUCACUGGACAUAGAAACUCCCUUCAACAAACAACCCCAGAUUUCUUUCCAAAUUUUUCCUAGAAUGCUAUUUCUAACUUCACAACACACAGGAAAAGGCCAGGUUGAAGAUACUUAAUAAAUGUUUUCUGAUGGUGGGGAAAUCAUCAUUAACUAUUGUUACCAUAAGUAAAAUUUGUAUUAAUAGCAUCUUGCAUAUUAGUCAUUUAUUGAAUAAAUAUUUAGUGAUGUCUCCUAUGUAACUAGCAUCAUGCUAAGCCAGGGGAAACAACAAUGAAAUCAGAUACAGCUUUACUUUCAUGGUUUUAAUUCAUCUAAUUUCAUAUAUUCCUAUACACAUUUUCAUAUAUUCCUACAAUUUCGUGUAUUCAUAAUUCUGUGGUAGAAAGAAAAAAACCUGUAAACAGGCACGUUUUUAAAAAUGCUAGUUAUUAUAAGUGUAAUAAGAACCAAGAUGGAGAUUAACAGAAGGAAAUUUGGGACAUUUUUAAUAAUCAGACCAUAGCAAAAAGUACACGUGUUAUGCUGUCAUUUUUAUAAGAUCAUGUUUUAUUUCUUUGUUUUGUUGUUGAUAUCAGUUCUGUGUAAUGUGCCAAAGGGACAUACUGAAUUUGGAUUGAAGAACCCAGUACCAUUUGGUCUUCUAAUCUGAUAGGUUGCUGACAGCUUGUAAUCAUCUGUUUAAUUAAAUUUCUUGGUUCAAGAAUCAGAAGUUAUCAGAGCAGAUUAAAAUGAUGCUAACAGAAAAGCUGUUCACUAAUUGUUUUUACUGAACACAAGCCGUAUGACAGAGACAAGGCGUGCUGCUGGUAAUAAGAAGAAGGCACCAAAGGGCUGACUGGGGUUGAGGGAGUGAGAACCAUUCUGGGCUCCACAUUUUAAGGGCUGUUGACAAACAGGAGCCUGCCCAAAUGGCUGCCUUUAGCCGGCUGGAUUCACUUACGUGUUCCAUUCAUUCUGCUUAGAAUGGAUGAUAAAUCUCUACUCUGGGAAACAGUGCAGGCCAGGAGGUGGUUGGAUGCUUAGAGGCAAAGUCUAGGGUGCACAUCACUUGUGCUCCAUCAUCUCAUCAUCUCCAAUGCAGAAUGGCUUGCAAAUCUGUGAUCAUCUAGAAUCCCCCUGGCUGCAGGAGCCACAAAGGCUACUAGGUUAGGCAGACAACUUCAAUGUCAAGGGUCGGAUUGCUAAGGGAUUGGGGCAAAACUGGAGACUGAAAGCCUUUCCGUGCCUCUUAGAACAAGCCAAACAUAUUAAUACAUGGACAAGAAGGUAGAGGGUGGAGGCUCAAACACUGCCUGCUUCCCUGUGUUCAUUUUCUUGUUCCUCAGUCAUGGCUCCAUGGUCAGACCACCAGAUAUGAGGCUUUGGCCAGAUAAACUAUUUCUCUUUUUAAAG